UUGACGGGACCGCACAAGCGGUGGAUGAUGUGGUUUAAUUCGAUGCAACGCGAAAACCUUACCACCUUUGACAUGUACGGAAUCCUUUAGAGAUAGAGGAGUGCUCGAAAGAGAACCGUAACACAGGUGCUGCAUGGCUGUCGUCAGCUCGUGUCGUGAGAUGUUGGGUUAAGUCCCGCAACGAGCGCAACCCUUGUCAUUAAUUGCCAUCAUUCAGUUGGGCACUUUAAUGAGACUGCCGGUGACAAACCGGAGGAAGGUGGGGAUGACGUCAAGUCCUCAUGGCCCUUAUGGGUAGGGCUUCACACGUAAUACAAUGGUCGGUACAGAGGGUUGCCAACCCGCGAGGGGGAGCCAAUCCCAGAAAACCGAUCGUAGUCCGGAUUGCAGUCUGCAACUCGACUGCAUGAAGUCGGAAUCGCUAGUAAUCGCGGAUCAGCAUGUCGCGGUGAAUACGUUCCCGGGCCUU
rnacentral:rRNA from 1 species